rnacentral:lncRNA from 1 species
AGCUAACUUGCUUCUCUUCACCAGACCACUUCCAUUUUGCUCUUCUCAUUUUAGCUGUCUUCCUCCAGGAUCCUGUGGAGUCAUCCAGGAAGCACAGUGAGGGGCAGUCGGUUGGAGGACCUAACAGUGCCUUCUGCCCCUGGCACAUUCGCCACAGAAGAAGACUACUCUGGGACUCAGCAGUAUGGGAUGGUGCUGUGGCAGCAGUCUCCUUGGAGCUCACUGGAUCCUUAGAAUUAUUUUGUGAUGCUUGUUCUGCAUCUUGAAAUGACGACCUGUGCCUCUGGGACUCAGCUGCAAGGAAGACAAGUGGAAGGCAAGUGGACAUGUUUUUCUGUGUAUCCCAAAACAGGUAGCAGUGUCUUUGCAGUGCACUGGAUGGAUGGAUGAAGGCACUCUCCCAGGCUUCCAACUCUUGGGCUGUGGAUGCUGUGAUAUACCGCCCUGACCCCUCUUCAGGACUUUUGGGAGUCCUGCCACCUGCCAGCACUCUCCAGAAACCUACUCUCCACUGGAGAGAGCGCUUGGGGCAGCCAAAUCCAAGACUGGUUGAUGUGGAGAAUGGAGGCCCAUCCGCCUCACCCCAACUUGGGGCAGCUCUGCAGGUCAUCCCGGCCCAGAGUUCCCCAUGGGGUCAGCUGAGGCCUUUGAUGAGACUGACGGACAUUCCAGCAUCUCCUUUUGCCCAAUCCUGUUUUUCUCCCUUCUCUUCCACAGAUGUUGAUCCUGGGUGCACUGUCUAGUAAGUGUCCUGCACACUCAUCUCUAUCUCAGAGUCCACUUCCAGGGAGCUCUGCCUGCACCACCA